CGGACCCGCACAGGGUCGCGGGAGGGGGGCCGCGCUAGCAGUCUUUUGAACCUAAGUCCCGCAGCGAUUGGCCAGCCCAGAGGGAAUUGCAGCCCGUUUCACAGAGGAGGAAACUCAGGACGAGACUGGGAAGUGACUUAGACAAGGGCACACGGCCAUACUUGGCUCCAGGCGCUUCUCCUGGCGCCCGCUCUUUCCACGUCGCCACGAGGUCUCCACGGAACCCCAUGUUGUAAAAGCUGUCUUCUCGAGGUUGGACGAACCCUGCCCUAGGACAAAAUCCUGCCGGGGCCCCCUGGAGGUGGGAAGAUGAGUGUUUUCUGCCAUCAUCAGACAUGGGGACCCAAGGUCAAGGAUUUCAAGAUCCUUCCCUGUGCUCCCCUGCUGCUUAGCUGGGACAGGCCUGUCUUCCACAGUCUCUGUGUCCCCCAGGGGACAAAGAAAGGAGAGCAUGGAAGGGCCCCGAGUUUCCUACUUGGGGUUCCCCAGGGGAAGUGUAAGCCAGAGAGCACCUACCAUAACCACCCAACCAUCCACGGAAGGAGAGAGAAACAGCCCGGCCUGCAGCUUUGCCCUGUGUUCCAGGAUCACCUCUGCGAAGAUGCUUGCUGAGGUGACCACCAGAGGAGCCUCUCCCUGCAGUGACACUCUGCCCCGAGCCUGCUGGGAAGGGCACAGAGCCCACCGGAAAAAUGACUCCUGAGCCAAAGAACACACAUCGGUCCCCACACUGUGAGUUUUUGGCACAGGGAGAAGGGAGAGGGGGAGGACGAUCUGUCACUGCCGGGGCCAAGCCUUCCCCUCUCUGCACCUCAGUCUCCCCACCUGCAAAAUGGGAGCAAAGCUCCCCAGGGUGACAGCACCAAACACGGGUGAGGGUGUGGAGACACAGGGACUGUCCUUCAUCGCUGGUGCAAACGCAAGGUGGCACAGCCACUUUGGAAGACAGGGUGACAGUGUCUUACCAGAUUAAACAUACUCUUACCAUACGAUCCAUUGAUUAUGCUCCUUGGAAUUUACCCAAAGGAGUUGAAAACCUACAUCGACACAAACACCCACAGGAGGUGUUUAUAGCGGUAAACAGCCUCGUUCGUAAUUGCCCAAACUUGGAAGCAACCGAGAUGUCCUUCAGCAGGGGAGUGGGUAACCCUCAACAGUACAUCCAGACAACGGAAUAUCAUUCAGCACUAAAAAGAAAUGAGCUCUCAAGCCAGGAAAAGACACGGAGGAACCUGACGCGCAUGUCAUGAAGUGAAGGAAGUCUGUCUGAAAAGGCCACAUACGGUAUGAUUCCAGCUACAUGACCUUCUGGAAAAGGCAAGCUAUGGAGACAGCAAACAGAUCAGAGGCUGCCAGGGGCAAAGGGGAGACGGGAGGAAUAGGCGGGGCACAGAGGAUUUUGGAGCAGUGAAACUAUUCUGUACGCUCCUUAACGGUAGGCACAGGACAUCACACAUUUGUCGAAACCCACAGACUGAACGACACCAGGCAGGAACCCUGAUGCAAGCUAUGGACUUUGGGUGACAAUGACGUGUCAGUGUAGGUUUAUGGAUCGUAGCAAAUGUCCCGCUCUGCCGUGUGCAGGACGUUGAUAGAAAGGCGAUGUCUGUGUUUGGGGGCAGGGGUGGGUGGGCAGUCUGUAUUUUCUGCUCUAUUUUGCCGUCAGCCUAAAACUGCCCUAAAAAAUAAAAAUCUAUUUUAAAUGUCUGUU